rnacentral:misc_RNA from 1 species
GAUGAAGAACGUAGCGAAAUGCGAUACGUAAUGUGAAUUGCAAAUUCAGUGAAUCAUCGAGUCUUUGAACGCACAUUGCGCCCCCUGGUAUUCCGGGGGGCAUGCCUGUCCGAGCGUCAUUGCUGCCCUCAAGCACGGCUUGUGUGUUGGGCCCCGUCCUCCGAUCCCGGGGGACGGGCCCGAAAGGCAGCGGCGGCACCGCGUCCGGUCCUCGAGCGUAUGGGGCUUUGUCACCCGCUCUGUAGGCCCGGCCGGCGCUUGCCGAUCAACCCAAAUUUUUAUCCAGGUUGACCUCGAAUCAGGUAGGGAUACCCGCUGAACUUAAGCAUAUCAAUAAGCGGAGGA